rnacentral:rRNA from 1 species
GACGGAGGGGGCAAGCGUUGUUCGGAAUUAUUGGGCGUAAAGGGCUCGUAGGCGGAUCCGCCAGUCUGACGUGAAAUCUCCACCGCUCACCGGGGAGGGGCCGUUGGAUACUACGGAUCUGGAGUUCGGCAGAGGACCAUGGAAUUUCGGGUGUAGCGGUGAAAUGCGUAGAUAUCUGGAGGAACACCGGUGGCGAAGGCGGCAUCCUGGACCAACACUGACACUGAGGAGCGAAAGCCAGGGGAGCAAACGGG